GAACAAUACAUGCACAUAUACAAAAACUACAACAAUACAAAGAUUCGCAUAGCCUCUGUGCAAGGAUGACAAACACAAAUUAGUGAUGUGUUCCAUAUUUUU
rfam:Otolemur garnettii contig010097, whole genome shotgun sequence.